GAUGAACGCUGGCGGCGUGCCUAAUACAUGCCAGUCGAGCGAACGGACGAUAAUCUUGCUUCUCUGAUGUUAGCGGCGGACGGGUGAGUAACACGUGGAUAACCUACCUAUAAGACUGGGAUAACUUCGGGAAACCGGAGCUAAUACCGUAUAAUAUUUUGAACCGCAUGGUUCAAAAGUGAAAUACGGUCUUGCUGUCACUUAUAGAUGGAUCGGCGCUGCAUUAGCUAGUUGGUAAGGUAACGGCUUACCAAGGCGACGAUGCAUAGCCGACCUGAGAGGGUGAUAGGCCACACUGGAACUGAGCCAGGCACCAGAGUCCUGCGGGACGCAGCAGUAGGGUAUCGUCGGCAAUGGGCGAAAGCCUGACGGAGCAACGGCGCGUGAGUGAUGAAGGUCCUCGGAUCGUAAAACUCUGUUAUUAGGGAAGAACAUAUGUGUAAGUAACUGUGCACAGCUUGACGGUACCUAAUAAGAAAGCACCGGCUAACUACGUG
rnacentral:rRNA from 1 species